GAACUCACUCAAACCCUUUUUCCCUUUCAACACCACUUCUGAAUAUAUCUUCAACACUGGCUUCUUUAAAGAUUACUCACUUGGAUUUACCUUUCGAUUUUAAUAACAAACAUACCGACGAACCAAUUUUUGAGCUUCCUCUUUCCAUUCUUCCUAAAUUACUUUCUCAUGAACCUCUAAGAGACUGGGGUAUGAAGCCCAAUGGAUGGCCCCAUCUCAAGUGGACGGAUGCCCUCAUUCCUUCUUCUCUAACUGGGUUGGAGGGAAUUAAUUUUACUCCACUUACAGAUGCUGAUUUUGGUGAUUCUAAAGCAAAGUUGGUAUCUACUAGAUUGACUUUUGAGAUAAUCAACCUAAUGGUUGAAGGCAGAACUCAGUUUACCCUAGAAGACCUCUGCCAUAUUCCUAAGGAAAAAGGAUAUUGGUUCAGGAUUGGUGAACCAGGAAUGACUGCCGAUGAAUACAUAAUUUCUGACAUUAAUGAUCACAUCUUUAUUCCUGUAUGUAUAUAUGAUUUUGCCUUCGGUUUACACUUUCCACUUCACCCAUUUUUUUUCUCAAGUUUUUUUCCAUAACCAUCUUUCUCUCAAUCAAGUCCUCCCAGAAGCUACCAGGAAGAUUAUGUCCUUUAUCUGGACCUGCGAAUACAUGAAGCUUCCUCUGACUUUAAAUUUAUUCAAAAGUCUCUUCAAGCUGGAUGAGACAUAAAAUAAGCCUUUCAUCACUUUUUCUUCAAUAAAUGGAGCAAUAGUGGCCUACCCAGAAUUAAAUGACCUCAAACAUUACAAGGAGAAAAUAAUCUGGGUUAGCGUACCGAAAACUCCUAGUCAUCCCUUCAAGUAUAUGCCCCCGAAUUUGCUGGACCACAUUUAACCCUAGAGAAACUCUAGGCCUAGAGGACGUAAAAUAGUUGUCUCGGAGGGAGAGACAUGCUUUUCUGUACUUUUAGAAGCCGAAAGAUAAAAAUUUUCCUCGUGUCUUGAUCCCUCAUGCUUCUAUAUUCCAAUAGGACAUUUGUCUGUCUCUGGUUGGGAUGUCCAGCUGUCUGACUACUGGUAUAUCUAUAUUUCUGGAUACAUAAUUAUUAUGUUACUAUUAUCCUUCUUUUCCUCAUUUGUAGAAUACUUGUUUGUAAUUUCCAGAUCAUGCAACAAAUUAGUUCGCUGGAAAGUUCUUGGUAUUUCCCCUCAUGGGAAAUACUACAGACCUGCUCCCCGGUCUCCUUGGCUAGAAAAUACUGCUAGCCACCGUUUAUACAGGACGGUCGUUGGCUCUCCUCCCGUUCCUCUGAAAAACUAUCCGUAGCGAAGAGUUACUGCCUUCUAUUAUGAUCCCUUGGCUCCCUUUGAAGCUCCCAAAUGGAGGAAGAGUGAUAUUUUUCCUGCCAACACACCUUAUUAUUUUAGAAUUGGACAAGGUCCUCUUCCUCCAGCCAAAAAGGAUUAUAGGGACCCAGCGGAAUGGGUUGAUCCUCAUCUUUCCAUCUUCAAGGAUGUAGAUUCGUCAUCUAAGGGUGGACCCAAAAAAUUUAGAAGAGAACAUAUCUUCAGGAAGAAGAUUCAGGUAUAUAUUCUCGCUUAACUUUCAUCCACCUUUAACAUUUUUUUUCCUUUGUAUCAAUUAUCCAGUAAUUAUUGUAUUCUUUUAUAUCGUACCUGCUGCUGAUCUCCUAGCUUCUCUUGCGCUGGCUCCCAUUGAAGAACACACCCAGGCAGAAGAGAAUUAGGCCAAUUUAGUAGGUUUUCCUUCUUCUGUGGUUGGAGAAAUAAAUGUCCGAGCAGAUGAUGCUGUGGAUUUUUCACUCAUUCCAGUCACUAUAGCUGAGACUGUUGUUGAAGACAUUGCUAGCCCAGCAACUAAAGUUGUGGCAUUAAUGGAACAACCCAAUAUCCCAGUUGCUGAAACUAAGGAUAUUGUUGUUAAAACCUCGACUCAUGACUUCCAGCAGGCUAUGGAAGGUGAAGUUGAAAUAGGGGAGAUCCAUCUUGCUUCUCCUAUAAGAUUUUUGGUGGGUGGGGUCCUAAGACUACUGAAGAAGUCCCUGCUAAAGGGCAGAACAAAGGUAAACAGGUCGCUGAAGACCCUCAUCCUAAAGAUUCACUUUCAACCAGGCAAAAGUUGGAUGAAGUUAUAAUCUCUCAAUAGUUACGGUCUAUUGACCUAAUGGCUUCUGUUGAUCAGUUUCUGGAGGUCCACACCACAACUUUGAUGACUAGUCACUUCUAGAUUUCUGGAGCUGAGUUCUUUAGUGAGGAGAACAUACCACUUUGAUCUUCAAAAUCUUCACAACAAGACUCAGGCUCAAGAAAUAGAAAUCGGCUCUCUUCAAGUUAGGCUGGAAAGUCUCAGAUCUAGAAAUCUAACGUUGGAGGCUGAUUCAUCUUCCCUAACCUCUGAGUUAGAGCAGUUGAGAGACCAGAAUUAGAUCUUGGAAUCCAAAAUGAGCAGCCAGCAAGACGUGGUGAAUAGUUUCAGGGACAAGAUUCAAUUCUUGGAAGCUAAACUUCAAUUCCAAGUUGAGCUGGUAGCUAUUAAAGAAUCCAGAAUUCUGACCCUGGAUAUUGGGCUCUCUAACGCUAGCAAGCUUUGGAUGAACAUAAUGAAAAACAUAAAAAGUGGCAGACUGAGUUUAUAUCCCAAUCCAACUAUAUUCUAGAACAACAAUCAACCAUCAUCAAAAGUGAUGAAGAAUCCGGCCAACUUUAGAGAGAAUUGAAGAAGGUUCAAGAGACUUUAUCUACUGUUGAGCAAUCUUCUGUCCAAAAGGAUGGGGGAAAGUUUGCAUCUCAGAUCUCAACUAUCGGAAACCAAGCUUCUAGAAAAACUCAAAGGGGGCUGAUAGAUGGCAUGGAAGGUGAUAAGGACAAACUCCGUGCUCAAAUAAAGGAAUUGAAACUGCUAUCUCCAAGCUAGAAAUUAAAAAGAAACGUUUGAAGGCCCAGGAGAGAAAAGAAGCUACUGACUACUUCAAGUCACAGUUUAAAUCUCAUCUGGUUGCUGACAGAACUAGGACCAAGGAGGGUACAAUUUGGCACACAUUGAAUGCAGUAUCACUGCUUAUCAAAACCUGGAUUGGUCUAAAAUUGAACCUUUCCUGGCGCAUGAAACUCCAGUUGCUCCCAUCACUCCUAUCUUAAGGGCCCAAUACAAGAAAUCAUCUAAUCAAGAAGCCGGUAGUUCUGUCCCUUCUGCUUCCAUGACUCCUCCACCCAACAAUCCAUGAUUUUUCUUUAUCUUCUUUUCUUUCUUUUAUUAGUUUUAAUCUUCAAAAUUUUUGUUGUAUAUAUCGAAGAGUUCUUGCUACUAGUAUGUCUAGAUUUCAAAUUUAUGGAAUAUUAUUUCAACUAUAUUGAUAACGAUUUUGAUUCAUGAACUCACGUGGCUCGAAAAUGUUUUAGGAUAAGAACUCACAUGACUUGAUGAUGUUUCUAAAUACAAAAAGAACUCACAUGACUUGAAGAGGUAUCUUAACAUAAACUCACAUGACUUGAAGAGGUUUCUGAACAUAAACUCAUCAAGUCUUUUCUUCACACCUUAUUGCCUUACAACUUCGUGUCAUAUGUUUCUUGAACUCUAUAAAAUACCCACAUAUGUUUCUUGAACUCUGUCAGAUACCCACAUAUGUUUCCUGAACUCUAUCAAAUACUCACAUAUGUUUCUU